GGGGAUGUAGCUCAGCUGGGAGAGCGCUGCCUUUGCAAGGCAGAAGUCAGGGGUUCGAGUCCCCUCAUCUCCAUCA
rnacentral:tRNA from 1 species